rnacentral:rRNA from 1 species
UGGAUUAGUGGCGAACGGGUGAGUAACACGUGAGCAACCUGCCCCUGACUCUGGGAUAAGCGCUGGAAACGGCGUCUAAUACUGGAUAUGUCCCAUCACCGCAUGGUGUGUGGGUGGAAAGAUUUUUCGGUUGGGGAUGGGCUCGCGGCCUAUCAGCUUGUUGGUGAGGUAAUGGCUCACCAAGGCGUCGACGGGUAGCCGGCCUGAGAGGGUGACCGGCCACACUGGGACUGAGACACGGCCCAGACUCCUACGGGAGGCAGCAGUGGGGAAUAUUGCACAAUGGGCGGAAGCCUGAUGCAGCAACGCCGCGUGAGGGAUGACGGCCUUCGGGUUGUAAACCUCUUUUAGCAGGGAAGAAGCGAGAGUGACGGUACCUGCAGAAAAAGCACCGGCUAACUACGUGCCAGCAGCCGCGGUAAUACGUAGGGUGCAAGCGUUAUCCGGAAUUAUUGGGCGUAAAGAGCUCGUAGGCGGUCUGUCGCGUCUGCUGUGAAAUUCCGAGGCUCAACCUCGGGCUUGCAGUGGGUACGGGCAGACUAGAGUGCGGUAGGGGAGAUUGGAAUUCCUGGUGUAGCGGUGGAAUGCGCAGAUAUCAGGAGGAACACCGAUGGCGAAGGCAGAUCUCUGGGCCGUAACUGACGCUGAGGAGCGAAAGGGUGGGGAGCAAACAGGCUUAGAUACCCUGGUAGUCCACCCCGUAAACGUUGGGAACUAGUUGUGGGGUCCUUUCCACGGAUUCCGUGACGCAGCUAACGCAUUAAGUUCCCCGCCUGGGGAGUACGGCCGCAAGGCUAAAACUCAAAGGAAUUGACGGGGACCCGCACAAGCGGCGGAGCAUGCGGAUUAAUUCGAUGCAACGCGAAGAACCUUACCAAGGCUUGACAUACACGAGAACGGGCCAGAAAUGGUCAACUCUUUGGACACUCGUGAACAGGUGGUGCAUGGUUGUCGUCAGCUCGUGUCGUGAGAUGUUGGGUUAAGUCCCGCAACGAGCGCAACCCUCGUUCUAUGUUGCCAGCACGUAAUGGUGGGAACUCAUGGGAUACUGCCGGGGUCAACUCGGAGGAAGGUGGGGAUGACGUCAAAUCAUCAUGCCCCUUAUGUCUUGGGCUUCACGCAUGCUACAAUGGCCGGUACAAUGGGCUGCAAUACCGUGAGGUGGAGCGAAUCCCAAAAAGCCGGUCCCAGUUCGGAUUGAGGUCUGCAACUCGACCUCAUGAAGUCGGAGUCGCUAGUAAUCGCAGAUCAGCAACGCUGCGGUGAAUACGUUCCCGGGUCUUGUACACACCGCCCGUCAAGUCAUGAAAGUCGGUAACACC